GAAAUUUGCUUAAUGAUUUUGUCUGAUUCCAGGAGAAGGGAAUACAAAAAGAGCCAUUGCACAGUAUCAAAGAAGCAAAAAAGCUAAACUGCAUAGCGCCAAUAGAGCACAAGGUCAAAGAGACCAAACCAGUUCUAUGUGGAUUGAUGACAUUCUACACAAAGAGCUCAAGGACUUAAUCAUGUGUGAGACUCGAGGUUGCAGUUUUUUAACAUGUAUUAAAUGCAGGUCUUCCUUGCACCACACACUCUAUAUAAAAUACAUGACAUCAAUUAUUCUGGCUUCAUCAUGGCUCCCAUUUUCUCAUAUAAUCUAGUCCCUUUUCUCUCUCUUAUAGUAUGGCACCUUCCUGUGGUCUUGGCUGCAAACGGCUUCCUCAAUAUCUGGUGCCAUCUCAUCUUGGAAGAUGCCUCUGUGGCUCCUUUCUUACUCUGAUGCUGAAUAAUGCCAGGUGAUUGAUAGGCAAAGGCAGGACUUUGCUGAAGUGUAUCUGAUUAUUUUUCCACCCUUGAUGAAUGGUUAAUGACAGUGAAUAGAUGGAAUUUUCUAACUUCACAAACUUCUUGCAUUUUACUGGAAGAAUGGACCUGAAGUCAGGAGGCCUGAGUUCAAAUUUAGACUUAUAUACUUAUCGAGUGUGUUAUCAUGGGCAAGUCAUGUAAUUUCCAUUUGACUUAGUUUGCUUAACUGUAAAAUGAAGAUAGGACUAGCACUGCCCUUUAAGGGUUGUCACCUAGAUCUUACAAAGAUCAAAUGGGAUAUUUGUAAACUAUUUUGUAAAUCUUAAAGCACUAUAUAGGUGCUAGUUCUUAGUAUUGCUUAAUUAAUAUUAUUGUAUAUAUAAUUAAUGUGCAUUUUCUCCUAUUUCUACUUCAGUAUAUAUCAUUUUAUUCAUCCUUCCCCUGAGCUUUUCAUAUUUUGCAUUCCCCCUGAUGUAAAAUUAUUUCAUCAUAUGCUACAAUUUGUCUAGCCAUUAUACACUCAAUGGGAACAUACUUUGUUCUAUUUUUGUUAUGACAAAAU
rnacentral:lncRNA from 1 species